AAAUUGAAGAGUUUGAUCAUGGCUCAGAUUGAACGCUGGCGGCAGGCCUAACACAUGCAAGUCGAACGGUAACAGGAAGCGCUUGCUGCUUCGCUGACGAGUGGCGGACGGGUGAGUAAUGUCUGGGAAACUGCCUGAUGGAGGGGGAUAACUACUGGAAACGGUAGCUAAUACCGCAUAACGUCGCAAGACCAA
rnacentral:rRNA from 1 species